rnacentral:rRNA from 1 species
CGAACGCUGGCGGCGUGCCUAACACAUGCAAGUCGAACGAGAAACCUCGGGCUUGCUCGAGGGAGUAAAGUGGCGCACGGGUGAGUAACGCGUGGGUAACCUGCCCUUGGAUCGGGGAUAACUUCGCGAAAGCGUAGCUAAUACCGGAUAAUGUCCUGUUGACUUCGGUCUUCAGGAUGAAAGAUGACCUCUUCAUGAAAGUUGUCGUUCAGGGAGGGGCCCGCGUACCAUUAGCUUGUUGGUGGGGUAAUGGCCCACCAAGGCAACGAUGGUUAGCUGGUCUGAGAGGAUGAUCAGCCACACUGGAACUGAAACACGGUCCAGACUCCUACGGGAGGCAGCAGUGAGGAAUUUUGCGCAAUGGGGGAAACCCUGACGCAGCAACGCCGCGUGAGUGAAGAAGGCUUUCGGGUCGUAAAGCUCUGUCAAGUGGGAAAAAAAGCUCUCGAUUAAUAGUCGGGAGACCUGAUGGUACCACUGGAGGAAGCACCGGCUAACUCC